rnacentral:tRNA from 1 species
CGCAGAGUGGAGCAGCGGUUAGCUCGGGAGUCUCAUAAUCUCCAGAUCGUCGGUUCGAAUCCGAUCUCUGCUA